rnacentral:rRNA from 1 species
UACGAAGGGGGCUAGCGUUGCUCGGAAUGACUGGGCGUAAAGGGCGCGUAGGCGGAUGGUACAGUCAGAUGUGAAAUUCCUGGGCUUAACCUGGGGGCUGCAUUUGAUACGUGUUGUCUAGAGUGAGGAAGAGGGUCGUGGAAUUCCCAGUGUAGAGGUGAAAUUCGUAGAUAUUGGGAAGAACACCGGUGGCGAAGGCGGCGACCUGGUCCUUUACUGACGCUGAGGCGCGAAAGCGUGGGGGAGCAAACAGG